ensembl:lncRNA
AAGGUGUACAGCUAUUCUUUGCUACCUUGCAGAUAUCUAUAUCUAUAUCUAUAUAUAGAUAUAUAUAUAUAAUUAAAAUAAAAUGGUAUCCUGUAUCAACAAAGCAUAGAACUCUUUUUAACCCUUAUAUUACUGUUCCUGUAUCUCUUUUUAAAUUUUAUUUUGAGUGUUACAUUCUGCAAUAAUUUAUCUGUGGUUUGUACCUUUGAUUAGACAUUUAGUUACAGGGUAAAUAGAUCAAAUUAAACAAUCCAACUACUGUAGCUGGAAGUUGUGAACCAAGUUUUAAGACUUUUUUCUUUCUUUUUUUUUUUUUUUAAUGUAUUUAUUUCCAGUUAGCUGUGUGAGUUGGAAUUUGAAAAGUCAGAACAUUAGAAAUCUCAGUGUCUUAUUCAGGAAUUUUCCCCCUCCUUUCCUCACAAAGGAAUUCCCACUGUGACUUAUAAAUAGAACUAGACUGCUUGUGUGCAUGUAUGUAUGAUAUAUACACACAAAAAAUAUGCAUUGGGGGGGAUGUAUGUGCGAUACGAAUGUGUAUAUUGUAUGUAGGUCAUAGUUUUGUAAAGAGAAAAGUAGUCGAGAGGUGAUGGAAUGUAUUGUAGAAAUGUGAUUAUUUAGUAGGGGGUUCCUAUGUCCUCAUUGUUGUAUAAAUAACUCAAACUCUCUACUAUAUAAUCUUCUGUUAUAAGGCUAAUUCUGAUAUCAUGUCAAUUUUACUGUUUUUUAAAUGACUUGCAGUGAGCCCUGUUUAAAAUGUCAUGAAAAUACCAAGCUCCCAAAGACAGCCUUUACAUGAAAUACAGGGAGGAGGAGGAGGGACGGGAGAAUUGAGUGAUAUUUUUCAGGAGAAUUUGAAAUGGGGAGUUCUGUAUUUGGUGGGAUGACGAGACAGACGGAUUAUGUAUUUUUGCAGAUUAAUACCCGAAUCUCUUAUGGUCUGACGUGGAAAAUGUGGUUAAUCAGUUGUACUUGGUUUUCAAAUCAGGUUGUAAGGGGCACUGGCUGAGGACCGAUCUCCGUUCUGUAAGAGGCUCUUGUCUUCAAAGCAGAUUCUUUUCUUUCCUGAAGGUCUUUGUGUGUAUUGAUUUUACUCCAGAAUUGCUGUUUUGGGAUUGCAAAGCAAAAUACACUUUCAGCCCAGGGAAUUCCACUUGUGAGUUUUGGAAUUUGGUUUUGGCCAUUUAGCUUCUUUCAUAAUUGGAGAAGGAAGAUUUCUUUGAGAGUUCUCACUUGAAAGGGUGAGGAAUCAGAAACAUUCUUACGUUUUUGCUUACACUUCAUACUGUGCAUCAGUUACAACAUUCAGGCUGGAGAAAAGUAAAACCUAGCUGUUAUUUGCUCAUACAGUUUCACUUCUAGUGAUGCUGAUCCCGGUGGCUUUAAAAAUCUGUUUAGAUGAACAGAGCUUCCAAUAUUGCACAGACAUUUUAAUUGUAAUGUUUUGAUUUUUUUUUUUUUAAAGCAGUUACAAAUCAACCCUUGAAGUUUUUGUACGUUCCCUUCCCUCUCAGUAUGUCCAUGCCCCAGUGCGUUUCCUUUCUCAUGCGUCUGCAUGUACGAGUGAACAUGGCAGGGAGGUGGAUGUUGUCAGAGGCCUUUCCUUCUCAUUUGGUGGUAAUGGGAGCUAGCAGCAUAAAUCUGUAUGCCUUUUGGGGAAAAACAGACCUGCUUUUGUGUAUACCUGUACAGAGAGAGAUAUCUGUAUAUGAGACGUUGGUAGCACUUCGCUGAAUGUGCUCUUGUCCUCAUGAUGCACGAUGAAUAGGUAUGAAUGCAAUCAAUCUGUGUAUAUAUAUAUAUAUAUAUAUGCAUACAGAUGUAUAGAUGGAAUAUAUGUAGUGUCACACACGUGCAUUAGUUGUAAUGUGAACAAGUGUGUGAGCUGAAAGAAAGACUAGCCAUAACCUGUGUGUAACAGGUAAGCACGUGGUGCCAAACUAGGUGGUUUUAGUUCAUCUGAGGGAUUUGGUUGGUGUCAGUGAUUGGUCUGAUCUCGGUCACCGCUGAUUUUCGUUACCUCAGCCCUCAAAGCAGAAUUUUCUUGGUACAUUUUUGCUUCUGUGUGUAUUAAUACUCAGCGAGGCCUCUUGCAAUGCCGACCUCUUUUGCUUUGCUGCUCCAUUACCUCCAUUCCAGCUCCUCCCUGUCCCGGUAUCUCCGAAGCUUACCUUGCUAUAGAAGUAAGCAGCUCUAAUGGCCCUGUCCAGAUCUUCCUAUGCAGUAAGGAAAUUGUCUGGGUGACUGCAGUGGCAGCUGAAUUGGGUCCUGAGCACUUGCCUGACCAUGACUGUGAUUGAUUUGCAGAUGAACGCUAACUUCCCUUAGAAACUGAUGCAAAGUUACCUAGCAUAUUAAAAGGUUAACCCGGCACCACGAUUCGAAGCUAAAUACUCAAAAUGAGAAAAGCAAACCCACUGAAAACAUCUUAAUUUUCAGCCCCAGGGAGAAAAAGGGAGCUCAGUGUGCCUUUCCCGUAAGGAGAGCAGUGAGCAGAAGGCAGCCUUGUGCUCGGUUCUGAGCGGCGCUGUUGUCAAACAUGUCAAGAGAAACACAGCUCGUUAGCUUUACCAAUAAACAGAUUUUGAAGUGAGCUGCAGAGUUGACCAUUAGCAUGCAAGUACUUUGCAUCUCAUUGUGCAUUGAAUGAUUUUGCUUAUGCAAGUAAAUUGUGGUUUUAAGUAUUUUAUUUUGUUUUCUGGCUAACUGGAGUUCCCCUGUCCUUUUAAGCAGAAAGCAGCUGUCAGAAACCUGCUCAGCCACACGUAAGCACUGCUGACAUUCAUGGCUCGCUUACCUGUGGUUUCAGUGGAGAGUGCAGCUCCGUUCUGCCACUGGGCCUUACUGCAGUCCACGUUUUUAGUCUGGGCAUGGCACUGUUUUUCUUGGCCACAGUUCAGCCAUGGAAUUUUGUCUUCCUUGCAUUUCUAUUAGGAAAAGGUAACUGAUGUACUGUUCCAUCUGAGCUUUCAUGCAAUCAUACAUGACGAUUUCUAUAACACAUGUUUGGGCGUGUGUAUGGGUAUGGUUGUGUACUGUGUGUGUAUAAUACAUGUAUGCACACAUAGAUGACCCUAUUUCAGUUUAUGUAUGUGGAGAACAUACUUGUUGGUCCUCUCCUGGUAUAUACUCAUGCAUUCGUAUAUUAAAUAUGUAUAUAGAGUGUAGAUGUCCUGCAUAUACAUGUGUAUAUGUUACGAACCUUGGAUGGCAUUUUUUUUAAACAUUUUGCAAAUUGCUGUCCCUUAUGAGAUAUUUUCUCUGAAGCUGCAUUAUAUAGAAGAGAUGGAGAAACGUGGUAUCAAAGUUUUAUUUUAAAAAGGAGACUCUUAAUUAUCUAAAGCCAUUUGUAAUUGUCUUUUGAAUUUUUACUAGAAGGGUUGUUAUUAAAAAAGGAAAAAAAAAAAAAGAAAAAGGAAAAAAAAAACCAAAAAACCACCAUCACCAACACAACAACAAGCAGACCUUACUCCUACCAUCACUUAAGAUGGGAAGAAAGAAAUGGAGGUGCAAGUUCCGAAGUAUUUAUUUCCUUCUGAGGCAUUGUAUUUGAACCAGUGAAUUGUAGCUUGCAAACGUAACUGAUUUUGAAGUAACUGCAUGGUAGCAAGGAUUAGCAGUCUCUUACACCCCUUCCUUGUUCCCUUUCAUCCCCAACAUGUAUUCAGCAUACCAUACAUUGGGAAAAAACGACAGCUUGCUACAGCAAAGCUAAAUCCAAUAGUGACUGCUUAAAGGGAACAUACAAACUCGCGCUGCCGCGUCCUGCACCGUGCUGACGGGCACAGAAAGCCCCGUCUGCUUCUGCAGAUGUGCUGCUUUGGGGAGAGCAGAACCUUGGGGGUGCCCGAGGAGAGCAGUUGCAGCGCCAGCAGCUCCCAGCGCGGCUCUGACAGCGUUCCAGGGUGGGUAGGAAGGCUCCUGUUUGUACUUCCCUUUAAAUAGGAUCAGUUGGCUCACAUGUUCCUCAUACUUCUCAAUGAAUGUACUGUAUUACCAUUAAAAAAAAAAAAAAAAUCAAUGAAAAUGAUGAUAGAUUGGUCUCCUUUUGUUAUCUGGUCCUUGUUUAAUUUGUUUAAGGGUUUUUGUAUACAAAAGUUUACAUUUUUAUGUAUAUUUUUCUUGUGUAAAAACUGAUGUAAUAUGUGUAUAAAACACUGUAUGUAUUAUCUGUAUAUAGUGUGACAAAAUGAUUUUCUUUCUUUCUUUUGGAUGUAUUAAUAAAUCUUGCUGUGAAGUAGCUGUGUUUUCUAUGAUGAAACCCUCUUCUCUGAGCCAUUUCCUUACUGUGAGCUGUAUGUGUAGUACUCAGGCUGAAAUCUAAUCUAAUCCAUCAGGUGUUUUGUUCUUUCUCCCCCCAUCAAUGUAUGCUAAGCACAACUGUCCUUCGUUUGGGUAGCUGUAGGGUCUGGUUGUGCUCUGGCUUAUUCUGUAUUGCUUUUUAAUAGCAUUAGCUAAUUAGUUUUGCAAACAAACUGAGGUCUUCAAUCUCACUCCUGAUUCUAAUUAUAAUGCUUUCUAGCUCUGG